rnacentral:lncRNA from 1 species
CGCGGAGCUCGGCGAAGUUCCUCCAACUCGGCCGGUGGCGGGCCGGUCGCCCAGCAGGGGGACCCCGGGGAGGACCGGCCGCGGAUUGGAGCGAAGUUGGAAGCCCUCUCCGCCUCCCGGCAGUGGGGUGACGGUGGGAGGGAAUGGUAUGCGAGAGGCUCCACGCCCUUACAAAAGCUCCGCGGAUUCCCAGCCCAUCUCCUGUCACCUGGCCGCCGGGGCGAGGGCUUCCCAGCACCGAGAUUUUACAGGGAACACCAACGUAGAGGCCGAGGCUAAAUGAAGGCCAAGUGUACUGAGAGGAACUAGCCUUUGAGAAGUUAAUCUGGAUGUCAACUGUACUGAUGUUCCGGACAGAUGUGGCCCCCUAAAAUUCCCAUGCUGAAGCCUAACGCCCAAUGAGACUGUAUUUGGAGACACAGUCUAUCAGGAGGUAUUGAAACUCCCAUCCUAGUUGCUGAGCUGGAAAUCUGGGUAUCAUCCAACAUCACAGCCUCCACAUAUGGUCUUGGAGUCCAUUUCAUCCCCAUUUAUACCUUUCUACUGACUCUCUCCCCUAAUCUCUUUAUCUCUGCUGCUAUGAUUCUUAGUUCACUGGGAGAUCUCUCACCCAGAAUCCUGCAAGAGGCACCUACCUGAUUUCCAGGCCCCAGGUUCAAAUCUCUUCUGAUCCAUUUGUCCAUUCUCUUCCGUUCCAGUCACUGCAAAUCCAACAAAGUAAUGAUGCUUGCCCUUCUUUUUAAAAAAAUUUCCCCAGCAGCUCUUGACAGUCUGCAGUCCCAACUCUUUAACAUUCAGAUUUUGGCUCUUACCUAUGUCACCAUCUCCUGCAACUGUCCAUUCAGCCAUCUGAAUUGAGACCUCCCUUUCUAGGAAGAAGUAUAGUCACUUAACACUUCUAACUUUAUCUUCAGAUAAUAUAUCUAAAACUGAUUAUUUUGUACAAUUAUAUGUGCGCUAUGUCUCCUCCACUAGAGUAUUGCUGAAUCAUAUAUAUCUUGUAUAUCUAACAUUUAGGAGGUUUUCAGGUUCUAUUUGUUGACUUAGAAAAUAAAGGCAGAACUAGCUCGAACAUGUUCAUGCUCCAAUUUCCGCAUCUUCCUUGUGUCCCGUAGAGCCUCUGUUUAGUAUGUUGCAAAUAUUUAAUGUAUGACUAAGACGUAGUUCUUGGACACUAAUGUCAUAGGCUCAAAAGUCUGGAGGUGUUUGGCAAAAUUUUCUAUAAUGCAAUAUAUAUGUUUUGGUGCCUUUCUUCCUCCCUAUCCUGCACUGAUAGAAGAAAAUGAAGAUAAAUUAUGCCCAGACAGAGAGGUAGGAUAAUUCCUAUUAAGGAAAGCUAAGUUGGAGUCCUUGUAGGAGAGAAGAUAUGUCUGACUUCCCCUAGGUAGAAGUUUAGGGUUUUAGAAUAGAAAAGAAUAAAAAAGAUCACCUAGUUUACAACAUCUUUUAAAGAUAAGCAAACAAGUGAUCUAAAGCAAGAGAAUUCCAGAAAAGCAUCUACUUGUGCUUCAUUGACUAUGCUAAAGCUUUUGUGUGGAUCACAACAAAC